rnacentral:tRNA from 1 species
GGAAUUGUGGCUCCGUGGCAGAGUGCUUGCCUCACAAGUAAGAGGCACUGUGUUCGAUCCUCAGCACCA